CUAGGAUACUGGCAAUGCUUCUCAAAGAACAAUCAGCAGGACUUAAACAACCAGGACAAAUGGAUACCAAUCUAAUUUGCUAUUGCGAAAGAAGACAGCCUUGAUUGCUUUGCUGUUUUUUCCAUAAAAUGAGGAAUAACACCUUGAAUACAGAAGCUCCUUCACUGUUGAUCAUCAAAAGAGAAAAGGAUGGUUCUGUGAACUUCAGAGAAAUCAAAACCACUCCAAGUUGGCUAAUUUCAAACCUAGGAGAUCAAUUUGAGGAUUGUUUCUAAAAAGAAGAGUUACUUGAAAUGAAAUCCAAAAUUAAUCAACAAGGUUCCAACAUAUGGUUGCCUUCUAUAAUUUAUCAAUAUUGUUUCCAUCCCAGAAACACUGUCAUUGGCUUGGCAUCCAUCCUUCAGUGCCAAUUCUGCCACAAGCAUCACAUAUAUUGAGAAGUUCUCACCUCUUCCAAAAACCUUAACCAAAAAAAUAUAUUCACAAAUAUGGACUACUGAGAA